AAUAUCUUAAAGCUUAAAGCUUAGGGGCUCAUAAUCUCUAGAGUCUAGAUAUUU
rnacentral:tRNA from 1 species